ensembl:lncRNA
CAUGGUAGUGGCUGCAGGUCAGUUGUUAUAGCUCUUCUGCAGAAAGUGGUAGGGUUCAAGUCCAUUUCUUAUUCUAGGACUCAGGCUAGCAGAUAAGGAACCAUUGGGGCAUGACUCCUCAGAGCAGAGGACACAGGAGCAAGAAACCAAACUGAACCAAGCAAUCACAUUUAAAUUUUUUUCUUGGAUGACUUAUGCCAUAUUUGCUCAUGUUCCACUGGCCAAAGCAAGUCAAAUGGCCAAACUCAACAUCUAUGGUGUAUGCAAAGAUACUUCACUACGGGCAGAGUUCACCUACGUUUUCUUGGGACUCCGUGCGUUGUUUGGAGCUGAGAGGAAUAAAGAACAAAAAACGAAAAACAAAACAAAACAAAACCAGCAUUUGAGUUAAGAUCUUAAGCGAGUCUUAAUUUCUUUGAUCCCCGACUAUCAGAAAGGGAAGUAAUAUUUACCUCAUAAUAGAACCGAGGUGAAGACGACUGAGGGAACAUGUGUGAAGAGUCCAGCAUAGAGCUUGGCAUACAGUGGGCGCCAUAAAUGAAGGUGGCCCCUUCCCCAGCUCCCGUGCCAGCCCACCUUGAAAAUGAGAACCAAAGUGGCAGGAUUCUCCUUGCCACGGCCAGAAGUGGAAGCAGUAAUGUCUGCUCCAGCAGCCGCGGAAAGGGAACAUCCUCUGAAGGUUGCAUUUCUACCAAUGGGAUCCUGGGGUCCCACCUCCGGGCCUCUCAGCUGGGGUCCCCUCACUUGGGAUCAGAGCGCACAGGUCAAGAAGACCUUCAUCUGAUGAAGAUGCUCCUUGCCAAACCAGUACCUUUCUCCAUGGGGCUAGGUGGCUGCAGUCCUAGCCAGGGUCAACUCUUGUUUAUGGAGAAUGGAAAACAGUGGACAGAAGAAGAUUAUCUGCAGAGGUGGAAUGGUGGAUUGCUUCUUCUCUGGGGCCACAUGAGAAGGCAAUUCCUGAGAGAGCAAUCAGACCAGAACAAAGUGCAUUCACCUUCUUGUUAACUGAUCAACAUCUGUUUCCAGAUGUUUCCCUGUGCUGGUUAUAUAGUUUGUGCUCAUUCACAUGCAAAGCCUCUCUCCGUGUAGCUCAGCAGAUGCCAUCAACAGCUCCUCAGUUUGGUAGGGAUAGGCUCUGUCUGCAACAGUCUCAUAACUGCAACCUAGCAAUGCUGGCACCAAAGUCAGAGCUCGGAACUCACUGCAAAAGGCACCCCCUCGGUGCACAGAUGAUGCAGCGGAUCAGUGUCUUUCUCACCAUGGUGACAGCAGUUGACAUGGAAACAGUUGUUCUCGCUUAUAUACAUAAUCAUUGCCCCUCACUCAGGCUUGCCAAAUGUUGAAAAUAUCUGUCUGCCCAGCAUUCAUUUCUUCCAUCUCUAGGAAAUGCACCAAGAUUAUCUUUUGGGAAAUCAUCUGGACUGAACAUCCAAACCAUUUGUUUUGGAUAUUAUUUGUCCAAACUCAGCAUGUGACCAAUACCUGGUAAAACUGAGCCAUAGGAAUGUGUAACCAAGCCAUUCUGAGCCCAUGAGUGUCAGGUCCAGAUUUUGCUAGAACGAUUGGGAAAGUGACAGGGUUUUGCCUGACAUUAUAUGCUGAUGGAAAAGAAGCCUGUGGCGGCUGGAAGCUGUCUGUACCACCAGCUGUGUAGAACAUGCUUGAAAAUAAAGAAAAUUUAGAGGAAAAAAAGAGCUGAGGA